rnacentral:lncRNA from 1 species
AGGAUUUGAUUUAGGAUUUAAGGUUUAUUUAGAAUUUGGUUUAGGAUUAAAGGUUUAUUUAGUAUUUGGUUUAAGAUUUAAGAUUUGAUUGGGAUUUCUUUUAAGAUUUAGGAUUUAAUUAGGAUUUGAUUUAAGAUUUAGGAUUUAGGAUUUAAUUAGGAUUUGAUUAGGAUUAGAUUUAGGGUUUAGAGUUUUUUUAGGAUUUGGUUUAGAGUUUUUUUAGGAUUUGGUUUAGAGUUUAGGAUAUAUUUAGGAUUUGAUUGAAGUCCAUUAGAAUUUUAAGAAGGAUUAAAUUAGAACUUAAUUGAAAUUUAUGUAAGAUAUAUUAUAAUUAUUUUAAUA